rnacentral:rRNA from 1 species
GCCCAGUGACCACGUCGUUCAACGGCCGCAGUAUUUUAACUGCGCUAAGGUAGCGUAAUCAUUUGUCUCUUAAAUGGAGACCUGUAUGAAUGGCAAAACGAGGGUUUCACUGUCUCCCUUUCCCAGUCAAUGAAAUUGAUCUACCCGUGCAGAAGCGGGUAUAUAAACAUAAGACGAGAAGACCCUAUGGAGCUUUAGGUAAUGAUCAACCAUGUAAACAGUACCACUUAUACCCCAAGGGGAUAACGAUUUUUGAACCUAGUGUCAACAUGAUUAAUACCUUCGGUUGGGGCGACCACGGGGGAAAAAGAAGCCCCCACAUGGAAUAGGAGACACCUCCCAAACCAAGAGCUACAGCUCUAAGCAGCAGAACAUCUGACCACAAACGACCCGGGGACAAACUUUUAUUUAAACCCGAUCAAUGAACCAAGUUACCCUAGGGAUAACAGCGCAAUCCUUUCCCAGAGCCCAUAUCGACGAAAGGGUUUACGACCUCGAUGUUGGAUCAGGACAUCCUAAUGGUGAAGCCGCUAUUAAGGGUUCGUUUGUUCAACG